UGUCCGAUGGUGUAAAGGCAGCACGAAUGGUUUUGGUCCAUUCGGUCUAGGUUCGAAUCCUGGUCGGACAA
rnacentral:tRNA from 1 species